AAUGAUUUUUUGGUUUAAAAAAGUUGCACAAUCCAUGAGUCGUAGAGUCAUUCCCUAUCGGAUCAGACAUUAACAAAAUGUCUUUUUAAUAAAUAUUUUGUUGUAUGCCGUCAUGUCUUUGAAGCUGCUUGUUUGAAACGAGUAUUAAGGAUUUUAAGUUCAAAAAUUGGAUGAGAUGAGGAAUGUAGAAAAGAAAAAUAUGAACUCACAUUUGCAUAUGUAUUAUAUAUAUAGCAGGCACCAUUUCAAUAUCCCAUUUGGACGCCGAAUGAUCAACUUUGAGCCAAACUUCAAACUACUAAAUGGUCUAGAAGGAGCUUUUGCAGGACUGCUGAUCUUCUUUGUUUUCCAAUUUUUUUUAUCAUUUGAUUCUCAAAUCUAGUCACAAUAACUUUCCCACUCGAGGAAUCUGAAAAUUUCCAACUAAGUAAAUGAAUAUGGCCAUCUCUUCCACGCCCACUUCAUUUUCCAAAUCCCUAAAGCCCUCCCUUCCAAAAGCUAGAGUCUUCAACCUCCUUAAAACUCCUCCCAAUUCCCACCUCCGCUACACCCUCAAUCUCAAACCUCCACCUCCCCGGCUCCUCUUCCGCAUUGGCAACCCCAAAUCCAAAUCCCAAUUCAAGUCCCACCACAGUCCGAUUCGUUCCCUCUUUACUGGCAUUGUGGAAGAAAUAGGCAAGGUCAAGCAGCUGGGUUCCGACGAUGACGGCGGAUUCACCAUGACAAUCCAUGCGAAGACUGUCCUUGAAGACGUCAACCUUGGUGAUAGCAUCUCCAUCAAUGGUACCUGUCUUACAGUCACCCAUUUCGACACUCAAUUAUUUGAAUUCACUGUCGGAUUAUCGCCUGAAACACUCAGAAAAACGUCGCUGAUUGAGCUCCAAAUGGGCUCAUUGGUCAAUUUGGAGAGAGCAUUGAAACCAUCAACCCGAAUGGGAGGGCAUUUCGUUCAAGGCCAUGUUGAUGGGACAGGUGAAAUUGUGUCCACUGAGCCGGAAGGCGAUUCGUUGUGGGUGAAGGUGAAGACAACACCGGAGUUGUUGAAGUAUAUUGUGCCAAAAGGGUUCAUAGCUGUGGAUGGGACUAGUCUGACUGUUGUGAAGGUUUUUGAUGAAGAGGAGUGUUUUAAUUUCAUGCUAGUGGCUUACACUCAGCAGAAUGUGGUGAUUCCAUUGAAGAAAGUUGGGCAGAAGGUGAACUUGGAGGUAGACAUUCUUGGCAAGUAUGUGGAGCGGCUUCUCAAUAAUGGGGUUGUCAAUGCCAUCAAAUGAAAAGAUACAAGAGAAGGAAUAAUCUGUCUGGGCUUCAGCCCUAAACUGUUUAUUUUGUCUGUGAUAGAGGCAAAAUCCGGAGGAAGAAGCUAGAAGGACUUGACAUAAGGCUUUUAGGAAUUUGAACCUGAACAAAGUUUUUGAUUUUGACAAUUCAGGGAAUUUAGUUGACUUAUAUUCAGGAAAGAAGACAAUAUGAAGCAUCAAACAAUGGAUGUCAUUUCUCGAUUUGAACAUUUUUUAUGGAGGUCUUUAUAAAAUGGCGUCAUGAGUAAUACUUUUGAGUACUAUUGUAAUGUGACAAGUUUAUAUAUACCUUUUAGAUUAUGGCGUGGCCUAUUAGUUUGCUAGAAAUAUUGGAUCUAUUUUGCAUUACAAGCUUAUGUAAUGAACCUUUUAAUUAUGGUGUUUUGUAUAUUUUGGAAUUAUGAAAAUGCAGACUCUUUUACCUUUUA